rnacentral:lncRNA from 1 species
ACAGUGCCCUGCUGUGCGCGGCGUCACCGCAUCUAGGGUGGAGGCUCGCAACGUGCCCCCCGACGCCAGCGCGCUCCCACCCACCGGCGAGUCAAGGUUGCGUUGGGGAGACAGUGAACCCCGUUCCCGACAUCAGGGGCCUCCCCUUGGGGAAACUGAGGCCCCUGGCCAGCUGCGCAAGACCUGGGGACACGCGUGUUCUCUAAAUCUUGGGACUUUCAUUUCCAGCCUCUUCCUCCAAAAAUGCCGAAUUCACUGCGCCAACCCUCGAACUCACUUGAAAAGCAAUUGUUUUCCACUUGCGCGUUUUAUUUUGUAUCCUAUGCAGAUUCUAUUUACAUAUGCAUUUUGAGAUUAAGGAAUUUGGGGACUUGUUUUAACUAAUUACUCGUUCAGUGAAGUACGGGAGAGUCAAAGAACAGUAUUCCUACUGGAAACUCCAAGUCACACGUGUGUAUAAUCAAUGAAAGAUGACGAUCAUAAAACGUGUGCUUUCGCCAGCUUUCCGCGAGGAGAGAAAUCAAAAGAGAAUUUAUUUUUUGGUUUGCAUUUUAGCAUUUCUGUAAACUUGGGACCACGCUUUCCGUUUUCAGUGAGUGCACCCACACUUUCCAACUUUCUGCGCCCAAAGUUGCAACAAACCAAGGUGUCUGAACCACAGGAAGUUUCUUGGGCUGUUCCGCUGA